rnacentral:rRNA from 1 species
GACGAACGCUGGCGGCGUGCUUAACACAUGCAAGUCGAACGGAAAGGCCCUGCUUUCGUGCGGUGCUCGAGUGGCGAACGGGUGCGUAACACGUGAGUAACCUGAUCUUGACUUUGGGAUAACUUCAGGAAACUGGGGCUACUCUCGUACAGGAGAUGACGCUGCAUGGUGGGGGUUGGAACGUCUCGGCGGGAGGGGAUGGACUCGCGGCUUAUCAGCUAGUUGGUGGGGUAGUGGCUUACCAAGGCAGAGACGGGUCCCCGGCCCGUGAGGGGGGCCGGCCACAAGAGGACUGAGGGACGGCGCAGUCGCCUACAUUAGGCAGCAGUGGGGAAUAUUGCACAAUGGGCGGAAGCCUGAGGCAGCAACGUUGCGUGCGUGAAGACGUCUUGCGGGUUGAAAACCGCUUUCGCCUGUUACGAAGCGUGUGUGACGGUAAUGAAUAAAUAAGCACCGGCUAACUACGUG